CCAGGGAAGAAACAAUAAGGGCUGGGAGAACAGACGUGAAUUGCUGGUUCAAGGACCCCUAGAUUGGAACCUGGAGUAGAGGGCAGGCCUGGGUUCUGCUACAAGCCACUGUGGCAGUGGUGCAGUCAGCACAGUGAUAGGGAGGCUGCCUGAGUCUGUGUGGAGAGACACUUUGGUGAGACCCCGGAAGGGCAGGACAACUAUGACUUGGCUAGAAGGCUAAAUCACGAAGGGGAGGCACUGAAGCUCCUGACCAGCGAGAGAAGGACCACAGAGCGAGUGACUGAGGCAACCAGCUGAGUAACUACAGGACGGGGUGCGGACAGAGGCGAGCUAAUUCCCCAGAUGAGCCACGAGGAGGCGUCACUGUCGGGCGCCAGUUACACCAUCAUUUCACUUUUGUGUUUGGGUUGCAAAUAUUGCAAGGAAUAUUUUUUUAAAAUCAUAAUGCCAAAUUCCACUCUGCAUGUACCGGAUAUGAGUGACAUGAGUUAUGAUCAUCAGGAAGGUCUUAUCAAAGAACAUGUCAUAUGGCACCAAACAGCACAAUCGACUUUUACCACUCAUAUCCACCUGUCACUGAAUUGAAAGAGUGGCUUGUUAUAGAAUUAACUCCUAAAUGUUUAGAAAAUAACUUACGAUUAAUAAUGUAAAAUGUAUUCACCUAAUAUUUGGUGGAAGAAUUGAUAAAGUAAAAAUCUAUCCUGUGACACACUGA